CGGCCUGCUGGUUUUGCCCUGUCUUGGCAGGGGGGUGUUGUUUGAUUUUUUCCUUGCAGCUGGGGCUCCUGAGCAGGCUUCCAGAGUUCUUUUGCUACAAACCGGCAACACCUGCGGCAGUUUGCAUGUGUGCACGUGCCUCGAGAGGGAGAUGUGAAUCCAGAGCCAAGCUCUAAGGGUGGAACUGCAUCGAGGACAUAACCGAGACACGUGAGUGCCUCGUGUCGAGGAGGGCGAGCAGUUAUGUUGCAGGAAACCGAAAGCUCAGCACAGUCCCAUCCGUGACUGGUUUCCAGCUUGCUAUCACAGCAUAAGCAACAACAGCAUCAGUGGUGAGAUUCUUCAAGCUGAAUAAUAGAGGUCUUCAUCUUUGUGUAGGUGCAUGGAGGUGAUAAAUGAGCUUCACCUGGAGGAUGAACACAGCACUGAAGCUGAACUCUUCAGUUUAAAUAUCCGUGUUGCCAACGUGGCCUUCAGCAGGACAUCUCCCCCUGAGAAUGGCUUUACUCGGAGGCAUUUUGAUCGUUACUUGUCAGAUGAGACCUUGGGUGAACUACAAACUACUAUCACUGGCACUAGAAGGCUUUGCAGCCAGACUUGUCUGGACUCAUGCAUGUUGUCUUCAGUACUGAGUAGAUAUCUGACAAAUAAGUGAAAGCAAGGAAAAGAUCUUGUUCAUUUAGUUAAGACCUAUGUAAAUAAUAUCAUACAUUAGUGUGGGGAAAAAUGCCAUUUUUGCUCUGGAUUUACCAUAAUCUGGCAUAAAAAUAAUAUGCAAUAUAAAUGUGUUUAUACCUUAGAGUAUCUUGUUAAACCAUUUAAAGUUAACUAAUGUUUAGCUGUUUUGAAACUUUAAUUAGCAUUUAACAAGAAAGCAACAGUAUAGCCAAUUAGACAUCUAAGCAAUAACACACACACACUUCUAUUUUCUAGCAAUUAAUUGAUAACUAGUUUACCGUGGGCUAAUAAUUAAAUGAGAAAACAUUCUGAGCAAAUUGAAAGCGCUGAUGCAAAUGAGUUCUGCAUUUAUUCUUUUCAAACUCACUGACCACAUUUUCUAAUCUGUUGGGAACAGAGAAAUCCUGAAUUAUGCUAAAUAUAUACUCAAGCUGACUAACCAACCCUUAAAGCAACAUUUGUCACUUUUUGG